CAGCAGCCGCGGGAAUACGUAGGUGGCAAGCGUUGUCCGGAAUUAUUGGGCGUAAAGGGCUCGCAGGCGGUUUCUUAAGUCUGAUGUGGAAGCCCCCGGCUCAACCGGGGAGGGUCAUUGGAAACUGGGAAACUUGAGUGCAGAAGAGGAGAGUGGAAUUCCACGUGUAGCGGUGAAAUGCGUAGAGAUGUGGAGGAACACCAGUGGCGAAGGCGACUCUCUGGUCUGUAACUGACGCUGAGGAGCGAAAGCGUGGGGAGCGAACAGGAUUAGAUACCCCUGUAGUCCCUGUCUCUUAUAA
rnacentral:rRNA from 1 species